rnacentral:rRNA from 1 species
GUGAGGAAUUUUGCGCAAUGGGGGCAACCCUGACGCAGCGACGCCGCGUGGAGGACGAAGUCUUUCGGGAUGUAAACUCCUGUCAGUGGGGACGAUAAUGACGGUACCCACAGAGGAAGCACCGGCUAACUCCGUGCCAGCAGCCGCGGUAAUACGUAGGUGGCGAGCGUUGUCCGGAAUUACUGGGCGUAAAGGAUGCGUAGGUGGAUACUUAAGUGGGAUGUGAAAUCCCCGGGCUCAACCCGGGAACUGCAUUCCAAACUGGGUAUCUAGAGUGCAGGAGAGGAAAGCGGAAUUCCUAGUGUAGCGGUGAAAUGCGUAGAUAUUAGGAGGAACACCAGUGGCGAAGGCGGCUUUCUGGACUGUAACUGACACUGAGGCAUGAAAGCGUGGGUAGCAAACAGGAUUAGAAACCCUGGUAGUCC